rnacentral:rRNA from 1 species
UACGAAGGGGGCUAGCGUUGCUCGGAAUUACUGGGCGUAAAGGGCGCGUAGGCGGAUAUCUAAGUUGGGGGUGAAAUCCCGGGGCUCAACCUCGGAAUUGCCUUCAAAACUGGAUAUCUUGAGUUCGGGAGAGGUGAGUGGAACUCCGAGUGUAGAGGUGAAAUUCGUAGAUAUUGGGAAGAACACCGGUGGCGAAGGCGGCUCACUGGCCCGUUUCUGACGCUCAGGCGCGACAGCGUGGGGAUCAAACAGG